UAAAGAUUCAUCGCUGAUAGAUAGGCAUGCGUUCCAUUAGGCAGUUGGCGGGGUAACGGCCCACCAAACCGACGAUGGAUAGGGGUUCUGAGAGGAAGGUCCCCCACAUUGGUACUGAGACACGGACCAAACUCCUACGGGAGGCAGCAGUGAGGAAUAUUGGUCAAUGGGCGUAAGCCUGAACCAGCCAAGUCGCGUGAGGGAUGAAGGUUCUAUGGAUCGUAAACCUCUUUUAUAAGGGAAUAAAGUGCGGGACGUGUCCCGUUUUGUAUGUACCUUAUGAAUAAGGAUCGGCUAACUCCGUGCCAGCAGCCGCGGUAAUACGGAGGAUCCGAGCGUUAUCCGGAUUUAUUGGGUUUAAAGGGUGCGUAGGCGGCCUUUUAAGUCAACGGUGAAAGUCUGUGGCUCAACCAUAGAAUUGCCGUUGAAACUGGGAGGCUUGAGUAUGUUUGAGGCAGGCGGAAUGCGUGGUGUAGCGGUGAAAUGCUUAGAUAUCACGCAGAACCCCGAUUGCGAAGGCAGCCUGCCAAGCCAUGACUGACGCUGAUGCACGAAAGCGUGGGGAUCAAACAGGAUUAGAUACCCUGGUAGUCCACGCAGUAAACGAUGAUCACUAGCUGUUUGCGAUACAGUGUAA
rnacentral:rRNA from 1 species